rnacentral:snRNA from 1 species
CUUUUUCAAAGUUAAGAUAAGUU